UGGGGAAUUUUGCACAAUGGGGGAAACCCUGAUGCAGCGACGCCGCGUGAUUUAGAAGGCCUUCGGGUUGUAAAAAUCUUUUGUAUAGGAAGAAAAUGACAGUACUAUACGAAUAAGGACCGGCUAAUUACGUGCCAGCAGCCGCGGUAAUACGUAAGGUCCGAGCGUUGUUCGGAGUCAUUGGGCGUAAAGGGUACGUAGGCGGGUAAGCAAGUUAGAAGUGAAAUCCUAUAGCUCAACUAUAGUAAGCUUUUAAAACUGCUCAUCUUGAGGUAUGGAAGGGAAAGGGGAAUUCCUAGUGUAGCGGUGAAAUGCGCAUAUAUUAGGAGGAAUACCGGUGGCGAAGGCGACUUUCUGGCCAUAACCUGACGCUGAGGUACGAAAGCGUGGGUAGCAAACAGG
rnacentral:rRNA from 1 species